CGUGAAACCGAUAAGGUGGAAACGGAUAGAGCUGACGUAUCUAGCCUGUAUUCAGUUGUUUGUAUGUGUGUAAGCCUGGUAGCUGGUCCUUCUUUUGGCCGGUUAGUUGGUUUCUGCGCACAUAUGUGGGCAAUGCAUUUGCAGGUGGAGUGCGCUGAGGCGUACAUUUCAGCGGUUGAAUCCCUGCUUUGAGGUCUCAUCUUUUGUGUGAGGUGCCCGGGUAGGAGUGUAAGACUGUUUGUUGUGUGUGACGCGUAGGAUAUGGUUUUCGAGUCGGCUGUUGGCUGAUAGGAUGGUAGGCGGUAAUCGCAUGCGAAUGCCACUAUUUGUUCGAUUAGUCAAUGGUGCAGGCUCACUUAUCCGACCUCGGUGUAAAAGUUGGUCAUCUAUCCGACCCGUCUUGAAACACGGACCAAGGAGUUUAGCGUGUACGCGAGUCAUUGAGUGUAAAACUUAAAGGCGUAAUGAAAGUGUCCCUUAUGUGGAACUGAUAUGCGAUCUUGGGUGCUUCGGUGCCUUAGGAGCAGCAUAGCCCCAUUCGAAUUGCUUGCAAUAGGGUGGAGGUAGAGCGUAUUCGCUGAGACCUGAAAGAUGGUGAACUAUGCCUGAGCAGGAUGAAGCCAGAAGAAACUCUGGUGGAAGUCCGAAGCGGUUCUGACGUGCAAAUCGAUCGUCUGACUUGG
rnacentral:rRNA from 1 species